AAGCGGAGGAAAAGAAACUAACAAGGAUUCCCCUAGUAACUGCGAGUGAAGCGGGAAAAGCUCAAAUUUAAAAUCUGGCGGUCAUUGGCUGUCCGAGUUGUAAUCUAGAGAAGUGUUACCCGCGCUGGACCGUGUACAAGUCUCCUGGAAUGGAGCAUCAUAGAGGGUGAGAAUCCCGUCUCUGACACGGACUACCAGGGCUUUGUGGUAUGCUCUCAAAGAGUCGAGUUGUUUGGGAAUGCAGCUCAAAAUGGGUGGUAAAUUCCAUCUAAAGCUAAAUAUUGGCGAGAGACCGAUAGCGAACAAGUACCGUGAGGGAAAGAUGAAAAGAACUUUGGAAAGAGAGUUAAACAGUACGUGAAAUUGCUGAAAGGGAAACGCUUGAAGUCAGUCGCGUUGGCCGGGGAUCAGCCUCGCAUUUUGCGUGGUGUACUUCCUGGUUGACGGGUCAGCAUCAAUUUUGACCGCUGGAAAAAGACUUAGGGAAUGUGGCAGCUCCGGCUGUGUUAUAGCCCUUGGUCACAUACAGCGGUUGAGAUUGAGGAACUCAGCACGCCGCAAGGCCGGGUUUCGACCACGUUCGUGCUUAGGAUGCUGGCAU
rnacentral:rRNA from 1 species